rnacentral:rRNA from 2 species
UUAAGCGACUAAGCGUACACGGUGGAUGCCCUGGCAGUCAGAGGCGAUGAAGGACGUGCUAAUCUGCGAUAAGCGUCGGUAAGGUGAUAUGAACCGUUAUAACCGGCGAUUUCCGAAUGGGGAAACCCAGUGUGUUUCGACACACUAUCAUUAACUGAAUCCAUAGGUUAAUGAGGCGAACCGGGGGAACUGAAACAUCUAAGUACCCCGAGGAAAAGAAAUCAACCGAGAUUCCCCCAGUAGCGGCGAGCGAACGGGGAGCAGCCCAGAGCCUGAAUCAGUGUGUGUGUUAGUGGAAGCGUCUGGAAAGGCGCGCGAUACAGGGUGACAGCCCCGUACACAAAAAUACACAUACUGUGAGCUCGAUGAGUAGGGCGGGACACGUGAUAUCCUGUCUGAAUAUGGGGGGACCAUCCUCCAAGGCUAAAUACUCCUGACUGACCGAUAGUGAACCAGUACCGUGAGGGAAAGGCGAAAAGAACCCCGGCGAGGGGAGUGAAAAAGAACCUGAAACCGUGUACGUACAAGCAGUGGGAGCACGCUUAGGCGUGUGACUGCGUACCUUUUGUAUAAUGGGUCAGCGACUUAUAUUCUGUAGCAAGGUUAACCGAAUAGGGGAGCCGAAGGGAAACCGAGUCUUAACUGGGCGUUAAGUUGCAGGGUAUAGACCCGAAACCCGGUGAUCUAGCCAUGGGCAGGUUGAAGGUUGGGUAACACUAACUGGAGGACCGAACCGACUAAUGUUGAAAAAUUAGCGGAUGACUUGUGGCUGGGGGUGAAAGGCCAAUCAAACCGGGAGAUAGCUGGUUCUCCCCGAAAGCUAUUUAGGUAGCGCCUCGUGAAUUCAUCUCCGGGGGUAGAGCACUGUUUCGGCAAGGGGGUCAUCCCGACUUACCAACCCGAUGCAAACUGCGAAUACCGGAGAAUGUUAUCACGGGAGACACACGGCGGGUGCUAACGUCCGUCGUGAAGAGGGAAACAACCCAGACCGCCAGCUAAGGUCCCAAAGUCAUGGUUAAGUGGGAAACGAUGUGGGAAGGCCCAGACAGCCAGGAUGUUGGCUUAGAAGCAGCCAUCAUUUAAAGAAAGCGUAAUAGCUCACUGGUCGAGUCGGCCUGCGCGGAAGAUGUAACGGGGCUAAACCAUGCACCGAAGCUGCGGCAGCGACACUAUGUGUUGUUGGGUAGGGGAGCGUUCUGUAAGCCUGUGAAGGUGUGCUGUGAGGUAUGCUGGAGGUAUCAGAAGUGCGAAUGCUGACAUAAGUAACGAUAAAGCGGGUGAAAAGCCCGCUCGCCGGAAGACCAAGGGUUCCUGUCCAACGUUAAUCGGGGCAGGGUGAGUCGACCCCUAAGGCGAGGCCGAAAGGCGUAGUCGAUGGGAAACAGGUUAAUAUUCCUGUACUUGGUGUUACUGCGAAGGGGGGACGGAGAAGGCUAUGUUGGCCGGGCGACGGUUGUCCCGGUUUAAGCGUGUAGGCUGGUUUUCCAGGCAAAUCCGGAAAAUCAAGGCUGAGGCGUGAUGACGAGGCACUACGGUGCUGAAGCAACAAAUGCCCUGCUUCCAGGAAAAGCCUCUAAGCAUCAGGUAACAUCAAAUCGUACCCCAAACCGACACAGGUGGUCAGGUAGAGAAUACCAAGGCGCUUGAGAGAACUCGGGUGAAGGAACUAGGCAAAAUGGUGCCGUAACUUCGGGAGAAGGCACGCUGAUAUGUAGGUGAAGUCCCUCGCGGAUGGAGCUGAAAUCAGUCGAAGAUACCAGCUGGCUGCAACUGUUUAUUAAAAACACAGCACUGUGCAAACACGAAAGUGGACGUAUACGGUGUGACGCCUGCCCGGUGCCGGAAGGUUAAUUGAUGGGGUUAGCGCAAGCGAAGCUCUUGAUCGAAGCCCCGGUAAACGGCGGCCGUAACUAUAACGGUCCUAAGGUAGCGAAAUUCCUUGUCGGGUAAGUUCCGACCUGCACGAAUGGCGUAAUGAUGGCCAGGCUGUCUCCACCCGAGACUCAGUGAAAUUGAACUCGCUGUGAAGAUGCAGUGUACCCGCGGCAAGACGGAAAGACCCCGUGAACCUUUACUAUAGCUUGACACUGAACAUUGAGCCUUGAUGUGUAGGAUAGGUGGGAGGCUUUGAAGUGUGGACGCCAGUCUGCAUGGAGUCGACCUUGAAAUACCACCCUUUAAUGUUUGAUGUUCUAACGUUGACCCGUGAUCCGGGUUGCGGACAGUGUCUGGUGGGUAGUUUGACUGGGGCGGUCUCCUCCUAAAGAGUAACGGAGGAGCACGAAGGUUGGCUAAUCCUGGUCGGACAUCAGGAGGUUAGUGCAAUGGCAUAAGCCAGCUUGACUGCGAGCGUGACGGCGCGAGCAGGUGCGAAAGCAGGUCAUAGUGAUCCGGUGGUUCUGAAUGGAAGGGCCAUCGCUCAACGGAUAAAAGGUACUCCGGGGAUAACAGGCUGAUACCGCCCAAGAGUUCAUAUCGACGGCGGUGUUUGGCACCUCGAUGUCGGCUCAUCACAUCCUGGGGCUGAAGUAGGUCCCAAGGGUAUGGCUGUUCGCCAUUUAAAGUGGUACGCGAGCUGGGUUUAGAACGUCGUGAGACAGUUCGGUCCCUAUCUGCCGUGGGCGCUGGAGAACUGAGGGGGGCUGCUCCUAGUACGAGAGGACCGGAGUGGACGCAUCACUGGUGUUCGGGUUGUCAUGCCAAUGGCACUGCCCGGUAGCUAAAUGCGGAAGAGAUAAGUGCUGAAAGCAUCUAAGCACGAAACUUGCCCCGAGAUGAGUUCUCCCUGACUCCUUGAGAGUCCUGAAGGAACGUUGAAGACGACGACGUUGAUAGGCCGGGUGUGUAAGCGCAGCGAUGCGUUGAGCUAACCGGUACUAAUGAACCGUGAGGCUUAACCUU